rnacentral:tRNA from 1 species
GGGGCGGUAGCUCAACCCGGGAGAGCGCGCGGCUGAAGACCGCGGUGUUGUGGGUUCAAAUCCCACCCGCCCCA